GGGCGAACGUUUUUGGACGAACUCCGGUAAUUAACCGGCAACGACCACCGAUGGGUAAUUCGAUCCCGGGGAGAGGGAGUGGACCGGCGAUGCCCCAAGUGCCAUCCACUCCAUCAGACCACGGGAUUCUGCAAGGACGGGCAGGCAGCUCCGAGCUCCGGGCGGAGUUGAGCGGGGAGCCAUUCAUUUAACAAAAAGGUACCAGGGCGCUGAGGUCGGUCAGCGGACCAGGGGAGCUCGCAGAACUGCGGCCGAAAGGGAAAAAAAUGACCGAGCCAAAGGGAGGCGACCGCCCCGGCGCCCGGUGACAGCGGGCUCACCUCGGCGUCCUCCCGGGAGCGCGGCGAGCGCCCCCGCGGCCUCCCAGAAACGUGCCGGGGAGGCUCGGCCCUCCCCACCCUCCCCGGGAGCGCCGUCUGGGCACCCAGGGCGCCGGGCCCCCCAGGGCCAGGGGGCGAGCACACACCCCUCCGGCCCUGCCCUUCCCGGUCCCCGUCCCACACAUCCCCACAGACGGCGCUGGAAGACGUGCACUUGGCGGGGAGCAAUUGGAAACGGGAACAUCAAAUGGCUUGUCCGAGGGGGAGGGGGUGGGGGCGAGAGAUAGUUGUUAAUGCUUAACGUGUUUGUGCCGGUUACACGACCGCUUUGAAAUCCGCCCGGGCAGAUCUGCAAGUUAUUUGAAUGUAUUAUUCCAGUACCUGUCAUUUAUCACUUUAUUCAACACGUCUUUGCCAACUCAA